AAUUGUCAGAGCGGCGUGCCAAAGGUUUUCUUACCAAAGCUCAAACGCAAGCCAAGUAUGGAUGGUAAUGAUUUAUUUGAUUAUGAAACCUCAAAUUUAUAGCUGAUGAUCUGAAGAGGCCGCUCCUGUGUCAUAGACAUUUUCUCAUUCCAUCAGAAUCUCCUUUUGGCCAUAAGCCAGACCACCUUCAAUGUUAUAUUUUAUUUGGUUAAUUGUUUCCUAACAGAUUAUAGUUACGAUUUGUGUUAUCAUUUUGCAAUCUAAAGAUGGCAGAAUUACCUGUCCUUCACCUGCUGGAGU
rnacentral:misc_RNA from 1 species